UCUGCUUCGUCCUCUGGUUUCACAUGGGGUGGAGCUCCCCUGCGGCGGAGCUCGGCGCGGGUGAGGUGAGGCCGCAGUCGAUUGCGCCGGCAGCUCCUCGACAUCGUCCCCUGCGGGCCGAUUUCGACGAGCGGAGGCCCAGCUGCAGCAGGAGGCUCCCCCGGUUCCAGCGGGCGGCGACCUGAAUCCGACGGGCGGCAGCCCGAUGCCGACGGGACCCGGCGGCCUGAUUGCGACGGGGAGGACUCUGGCUACGAGGACAUACUACGACAUUGAUACAUGUGCUUAUACUAUUAUAGUAAGCAGCAUAGCUAGUCAGCGACGAAGCGCCGUGGAUAUCAUCUUCCUCCUGAGAGGCCAGAUAUCAUGCAGAAGCUCGAUGUGAUUUGCGGGUAUGACAUGAUGACCAAGUUCGGUCCAUUGCUUUUCACCAGGGCCGCCAUGUUCACGCUCAGCUCCGUCUUCCUCAGCUCGGGCAGUGGCAUGUCACCGUCGAGGUAUUGCUUAACUU